CCCCACAUACUCCAGGCUAAUGUGAGUGUCCACAGGCCCCUAACCCCCUCCUCAGCUUGGUGUCACUGGGGCUCUGAAAUCCAGAGGUCAGACUCCACUCAGGAGGUCUUGGUGGUUUUCCUGGAAGGUUUGUCUUCUCCUGAGGAAGUGGAUGCCAUGUGUCACUUUGCAGAUGGAUCAAGUGCAGGAGGUGCCUGUUGGAGACGCAGAGCUCUGCAGCAGCAGACACCGCUUCCUGGAGCUGUUCUGUGCAGAAGUUGAGUGAAGAUACUGCAGCGAGCCCUGGGUCUGAACGCCUGUGUGCUGACUCUAGACCUGCUCCUCAGCCCCAGUUUUCUCUGAAAAACCAGGAUUCUAGCACAACUCGUACCCCCAUUCUUUUCAGUCCUGCACCCACCAGCGAGCCGCAAGGCCCAGGAGCUACUGGCCCUGUUUUCCUGUCUCCAGUACUGGCCUUUGAUUUAUGAGAUGUCCCCUGUCUCCCCUGCUUCUGACCUCCCAGGAUGGCAUUUGGUGAUUUCUUGAUGUUCUCUUGCUUUGGCAUUAAAAUAUGGAUGGGAGUGUCAUUUCCAGAUCUUUUCCAGACCUGUGCAAUUCUUUCCAUUCUUCAUAACAGCCCAUGACCCACCUUCCUCUGUUUCAGCCACAAAGCUAGCCAUGCCUGUGUGCGCACUGCUGUUUCUCAUUGUUAAUAUUUUAACUGUUAUUAAAAAAAAAACUUUCUUUUAAACUGUGUGUGUAUGGUUUUAAAAAUUGACGCACUUCCAGAGCUCUCAACUUCUGCAGUCUUUCUGAGGUCCGUGUUCCUCUUCUUCAGCUGGGAAGCAAAUGCUUGACUU
rnacentral:lncRNA from 1 species